rnacentral:miRNA from 1 species
UGCUGAGCGUUGGCCGGUGGCCCUC